UACAGAGGUCUCAAGCGUUGUUCGGAUUCAUUGGGCGUAAAGGGCGCGUAGGCGGCGCCGUAAGUCAGGUGUGAAAUUUCGGAGCUCAACUCCGAAACUGCAUUUGAUACUGCGGUGCUUGAGGACUGGAGAGGAGAGUGGAAUUUACGGUGUAGCGGUGAAAUGCGUAGAGAUCGUAAGGAAGACCAGUGGCGAAGGCGGGUCUCUGGACAGUUCCUGACGCUGAGGCGCGAAGGCGAGGGGAGCAAACGGG
rnacentral:rRNA from 1 species